rnacentral:rRNA from 1 species
GUCCAGACUCCUACGGGAGGCAGCAGUGAGGAAUAUUGGUCAAUGGGCUUACGCCUGAACCAGCCAAGUCGCGUGAGGGAAGACUGACCUAUGGGUUGUAAACCUCUUUUGUCAGGGAGCAACGCCGGCUACGUGUAGCCGGACUGAGAGUACCUGAAGAAAAAGCAUCGGCUAACUCCGUGCCAGCAGCCGCGGUAAUACGGAGGAUGCGAGCGUUAUCCGGAUUUACUGGGUGUAAAGGGCGUGCAGCCGGAGAGACAAGUCAGAUGUGAAAUCCACGGGCUCAACCCGUGAACUGCAUUUGAAACUGUUUCCCUUGAGUGUCGGAGAGGUAAUCGGAAUUCCUUGUGUAGCGGUGAAAUGCGUAGAUAUAAGGAAGAACACCAGUGGCGAAGGCGGAUUACUGGACGAUAACUGACGGUGAGGCGCGAAAGCGUGGGGAGCAAACAGGAUUAGAUACCCGCGUAC